UGAGGAAUAUUGGUCAAUGGUCGGGAGACUGAACCAGCCAAGCCGCGUGAGGGAUGAAGGUACAGAGUAUCGUAAACCUCUUUUGUCAGGGAACAAAAGACGCCACGCGUGGCGCUCCGAGUGUACCUGAAGAAAAGCAUCGGCUAACUCCGUGCCAGCAGCCGCGGUAAUACGGAGGAUGCGAGCGUUAUCCGGAUUUAUUGGGUUUAAAGGGUGCGUAGGCGGCGAGUUAAGUCAGCGGUAAAAGCCCGGGGCUCAACCCGGCCCGCCGUCGAAACUGGCUUGCUUGAGUUGGAGAGAAGUAGGCGGAAUGCGCGGUGUAGCGGUGAAAUGCUUAGAUAUCGCGCAGAACUCCGAUUGCGAAGGCAGCCUACCGGCUCCAGACUGACGCUGAGGCACGAAAGUGUGGGGAUCAACAGGAUUAGAUACC
rnacentral:rRNA from 1 species